rnacentral:rRNA from 1 species
AGCGAACGCUGGCGGCAGGCCUAACACGUGCAAGUCGAACGAAGCCUUCGGGCUUAGUGGCGGACGGGUGAGUAACACGUGGGAACGUACCUUUUGGUUCGGAAUAACGCAGAGAAAUUUGCGCUAAUACCGAAUGAGCCCUUCGGGGGAAAGAUUUAUCGCCGAAAGAUCGGCCCGCGUUGGAUUAGGUAGUUGGUGUGGUAAAGGCGCACCAAGCCUACGAUCCAUAGCUGGUCUGAGAGGAUGAUCAGCCACACUGGGACUGAGACACGGCCCAGACUCCUACGGGAGGCAGCAGUGGGGAAUCUUGCGCAAUGGGCGAAAGCCUGACACAGCCAUGCCGCGUGAAUGAUGAAGGUCUUAGGAUUGUAAAAUUCUUUUACCAGGGACGAUAAUGACGGUACCUGGAGAAAAAGCCCCGGCUAACUUCGUGCCAGCAGCCGCGGUAAUAC